rnacentral:rRNA from 1 species
GAUCCUGGCUCAGGAUGAACGCUGGCGGCGUGCCUAACACAUGCAAGUUGAGCGAUUUACUUCGGUAAAGAGCGGCGGACGGGUGAGUAACGCGUGGGUAACCUACCCUGUACACACGGAUAACAUACCGAAAGGUAUGCUAAUACGGGAUAAUAUAUUUGAGAGGCAUCUCUUAAAUAUCAAAGGUGAGCCAGUACAGGAUGGACCCGCGUCUGAUUAGUUAGUUGGUAAGGUAACGGCUUACCAAGGCGACGAUCAGUAGCCGACCUGAGAGGGUGAUCGGCCACAUUGGAACUGAGACACGGUCCAAACUCCUACGGGAGGCAGCAGUGGGGAAUAUUGCACAAUGGGCGAAAGCCUGAUGCAGCAACGCCGCGUGAGUGAUGAAGGCCUUCGGGUCGUAAAGCUCUGUCCUCAAGGAAGAUAAUGACGGUACUUGAGGAGGAAGCCCCGGCUAACUACGUGCCAGCAGCCGCGGUAAUACGUAGGGGGCUAGCGUUAUCCGGAUUUACUGGGCGUAAAGGGUGCGUAGG